UAUUGGACAAUGGGCGAGAGCCUGAUCCAGCAAUGCCGCGUGAGUGAUGAAGGCCUUAGGGUUGUAAAGCUCUUUUACCCGGGAUGAUAAUGACAGUACCGGGAGAAUAAGCUCCGGCUAACUCCGUGCCAGCAGCCGCGGUAAUACGGAGGGAGCUAGCGUUGUUCGGAAUUACUGGGCGUAAAGCGCACGUAGGCGGCUUUGUAAGUUAGAGGUGAAAGCCUGGAGCUCAACUCCAGAAUUGCCUUUGAUACUGCAUCGCUUGAAUCCAGGAGAGGUGAGUGGAAUUCCGAGUGUAGAGGUGAAAUUCGUAGAUAUUCGGAAGAACACCAGCGGCGAAGGCGGCUCACUGGACUGGUAUUGACGCUGAGGUGCGAAA
rnacentral:rRNA from 1 species